CCUACGGGAGGCAGCAGUGAGGAAUAUUGGUCAAUGGACGAGAGUCUGAACCAGCCAAGUAGCGUGAAGGAUGACUGCCCUAUGGGUUGUAAACUUCUUUUAUAUGGGAAUAAAAUGUUCCACGUGUGGGAUUUUGUAUGUACCAUAUGAAUAAGGAUCGGCGAACUCCGUGCCAGCAGCCGCGGUAAUACGGAGGAUCCGAGCGUUAUCCGGAUUUAUUGGGUUUAAAGGGAGCGUAGGUGGAUUGUUAAGUCAGUUGUGAAAGUUUGCGGCUCAACCGUAAAAUUGCAGUUGAAACUGGCAGGCUUGAGUACAGUAGAGGUGGGCGGAAUUCGUGGUGUAGCGGUGAAAUGCUUAGAUAUCACGAAGAACUCCGAUUGCGAAGGCAGCUCACUGGACUGCAACUGACACUGAGGCUCGAAAGUGUGGGUAUCAAACAGGAUUAGAUACCCCGGUAGUC
rnacentral:rRNA from 1 species